AUGGAGGAGGGGCUUAUCCUAAUGGAGGAGGGCCUUACCCUAAUGGAGGAGGGGCUUAUCCUAAUGGAGGAGGGGCUUAUCCUAAUGGAGGAGGCGCUUAUCCUAAUGGAGGAGGGGCUUAUCCUAAUGGAGGAGGGGCUUAUCCUAAUGGAGGAGGGGCUAAAGCAUCCAAACCAGGUUAUGGUGCUGGAAAAGGAGGUGGAUACAAUGUACCAGGACAUGGAGCAGGUACACAAAUGUAUAUACAUGCAUGUAGGGCUUGUACAUCAUUGGAUUGACCAAGCCUUGGAAGCCUCUGAUCAGAUAGCAAAUCAUAUUACAGCAUACCCCAGGCCACUUCAUGAACACGCCCUUUUAGAGCUCUUAAAAGAUUUAUGAAUCCAUAACUAAUGGCAAAAACAAGAUUUAUUUUUAAAUGCAUGAGGAUCUCUUUCUCCCCAUCUCCCCCUCACUUCCUCAGGUUUUGGUUCCCCUUACGGUCAACAACAGCCAGGUGAGCUGUGGUCUUAUCCGUUUGUCAAUUUUAUUACAAACCAAACCCAUUCACUGUGUAGUAUAAGACAAAUCAAGUGAAGCUAGUUUAGUGUUGGGGUAACAUGAGACAAGUGAAGCUAGGUUAGUGAUGGUGUAACAUGAAUCAAGUGAGGCUGGUAUUGGUUAUGUGACUGAGGGUGUGUUUGUGACUCAGGGUUCGGGCAAGGGGCGUACCCUGGGGCUGGUCACUAUGGUAACCCAUCGUUUGGAGGGGCACCGGCCAACGGUACAACACCCCAAAAUCUUCUUUUCAUAUUUGAUUUAAAUUAUUCUCAUAAAGUGUUUUGUAAUAUUACAAUGCUGUAUGGAUGUAAAUGUUGUUAUUGUAUUAAAACAAAUCUCAAUCAGGGCUAUAGAAGAUCUUGACCAGGAAAACUGUUUAUCUAAUCUAGGUCUGUCAUUGUUUGGUGGUUUAAAGUAUGGAAUCAAAUGUCCUCACAGGUUAUGGCUACGGGGCCGGAGUACAACCAGAGUAUGCAGGUAAGAAGAGGGGUGUUGGAGGUAGAGUGGGAGGGAAAUCAUCAUAUUGUCAUAUUUAUUCACAAUAACUAAACUAACAUCUCUUUGGUCUCUUCUCCAUGUCUCGGCCAAGGACUCCCUGCUGUGAAUGGAAAAGCAGGUACAGGACAACCUACACCCUACAUAUGUAGAUAAUACAUAUGUCGAUAAUAAUAAUACUGGUGGCUUAGUAUUACAUAAGUUGAGGUAGCUUUUUAGGCUCAUCGUAACAAGGCCAGUGUUUGGUGGCUUAAUGUUUGGAAUAAAAUGUUCUUACAGGUCAUGGCUAUGGGGCAGGAGUUCAACCAGAAUACGCAGGUAAGGAGAGAGGAGGAGGAUGAUAAGGUCAUAACCCAGUGUGUAAACAUGAUUUUGUUUUCUAAUGUUUCUUGUUUUUCUUUGGAUUAUUUUCCAGGUCUUGGUCAAGGAGUGCCUGCUUUCAAUGGACAAUCAGGUACCAGCUAAUACAUUAAUGUGUUCGUGCACAUUCAUGUCAUGCACGUUUAUUCUUCUUAAUUCUUCUAAUCGCUUGGUUUCUGGUCCCUCAGGUCAUCUGGGGGGAGUUGGAAACAGAGGACAGAACACUAAGGGACAAUAUGGUGGGAAUCAACCCGACUACCUUAACUUUAACCUAACGUUUACUUAGCCUCCUACACCCUUAACCCAACCUCAUACCUACAUACCAUGACCUUUGUUCACCCUUAACUAAACCCUUACCUAGCCCCAAACUGCAGUUGCCUUGCAAUUAAUACCCUGCCCUACCAGUUGAGCUACACAGGACCACAUUCCAUAUAUAAGGCAUGCAUUGUGUUUUAUGUGA
ensembl:lncRNA